UGGGGAAUUUUGGACAAUGGGGGAAACCAUGAUCCAGCCAUCCCGCGUGUGCGAUGAAGGCCUUCGGGUUGUAAAGCACUUUUGGCAGGAAAGAAACGUCAUGGGUUAAUACCCCGUGAAACUGACGGUACCUGCAGAAUAAGCACCGGCUAACUACGUGCCAGCAGCCGCGGUAAUACGUAGGGUGCAAGCGUUAAUCGGAAUUACUGGGCGUAAAGCGUGCGCAGGCGGUUCGGAAAGAAAGAUGUGAAAUCCCAGAGCUCAACUUUGGAACUGCAUUUUUAACUACCGGGCUAGAGUGUGUCAGAGGGAGGUGGAAUUCCGCGUGUAGCAGUGAAAUGCGUAGAUAUGCGGAGGAACACCGAUGGCGAAGGCAGCCUCCUGGGAUAACACUGACGCUCAUGCACGAAAGCGUGGGGAGCAAACAGG
rnacentral:rRNA from 1 species